CUUUGUUCCAGUAAAGGUUGAAUCAAUUCGUUUUGCUUAACGGGUUUCAUAUUUGAAGUUCAAGUUGAAGAUUAACUGAAGAAGGAUUUAUUUAUUUGUUUGAAUGUAUAUAUAUAUCUAUAUAUUUUUAUUUUUUCGCUAUUUUAUUUAUCCGAAUGAUGUAACAAUUGUAACCCUAAAGAUCAUAUAAUAAAUUUAUUUGGGGGUCGUCUAGGGGAGGGGGAUUUAUAUGCUNNNUUGUUCAUUAUAUUUUUUAGAAAUCAUGCCUAUAAGUUUGUCUUUAACCACCUAGAUUUAAUGUUUAUAGGUGUUAUAAUCUAAUCAAUUUUCAAUUUUCUUGACACUUUUGUUAAUAAAGUCUAAAAAAUAAUAAACUAGAUUCCGUUAAUGUUAAAAGCAAAUCAUAGUAAUAGGCCGAUUAGGUGUUUUAAUAAUGUUAUAAUUUUAGCAUCAUAUUGUCAUGUAGAAACCAUGUCUAAGGUUUAAUUUGUUCAUAUCAUUUACAAAAUCAUGCAUAUAUAUGUUACAUUUUUUUAUUUUUUUUUAAACACCUAGAAAUCAUGUCUAUAGGUUUGUAAAUAAAUUUUUUUAACAAAAUUUGUUUGUGCAUAUUUGUGCCCUCCCCUUAAAAUUAGUUAAUAUCAUUAGAAAUCCUAUCUGUCCUCUUGAAGAUUUCCGCAUUCAUUAUGCAACUUUUUUUAUUAGAGUCAUUUUAUGCAUCUAGCAAGUUACUUAGUUUAAAAAUAUUUCAUAUCAAAACCUUGCAACAUAAUUCAAUCUUUCUUUAAAUUUUGGAUUGAUUAUGACUCUGCUUAUUUCUGAAAUAAAUUA
rnacentral:lncRNA from 1 species